UACGUAGGGUGCGAGCGUUAAUCGGAAUUACUGGGCGUAAAGUGUGCGCAGGCGGCCGCGCAAGUCGAGUGUGAAAGCCCCGGGCUUAACUUGGGAAUUGCGCUCGAAACUACGUGGCUAGAGUGUGGCAGAGGGAGGUGGAAUUCCACGUGUAGCGGUGAAAUGCGUAGAGAUGUGGAGGAACACCGAUGGCGAAGGCAGGCUCCUGGGCCAACACUGACGCUCAUGCACGAAAGCGUGGGGAGCAAACAGG
rnacentral:rRNA from 1 species